ACCUACGGGAGGCAGCAGUAGGGAAUCUUCCACAAUGGACGCAAGUCUGAUGGAGCAACGCCGCGUGAGUGAAGAAGGUUUUCGGAUCGUAAAGCUCUGUUGUUGGUGAAGAAGGAUAUAGGUAGUAACUGGCCUAUAUUUGACGGUAAUCAACCAGAAAGUCACGGCUAACUACGUGCCAGCAGCCGCGGUAAUACGUAGGUGGCAAGCGUUGUCCGGAUUUAUUGGGCGUAAAGCGAGCGCAGGCGGCGCGGUAAGUCUGAUGUGAAAGCCCGGGGCUCAACCCCGGGACUGCAUUGGAAACU
rnacentral:rRNA from 1 species